rnacentral:rRNA from 1 species
GACGAACGCUGGCGGCGUGCUUAACACAUGCAAGUCGAACGGAAAGGCCUCUUUCGCUGGGUACUCGAGUGGCGAACGGGUGGGUAACACGUGAGUACCCUGCCCUCUACUUUGUGAUAACUUCAGGCAACUGGGGCUUAUACCUGAUAGCAGCUCCUGCUUCAUGGUGGGGGUUGGAGAGUUUCGGCGGUUGGGGAUGGACUGGCGGCUUAUCAGCUUGUUGGUGGGGUCGUGGGUUACGAACGCCUUGACGGGAAGCCGGCCUGAGAGGGUGAGAGGCCACAUUGGGACCUAGAGGAGGCAGAGACGCCGACGGGUGGAAGAAGUGGGGAAUCUUGAUCAAUGCGUGGCAGCCUGAUGAAGCAGCGCCGUGGGUGGGAUGACGGCCUUCGUGUUGUAAAACGGUUUCGCGCUUGACGAAGCUUUGUGUGACGGUAGUGGAUAAAGAAGCACCGGCUAACUACGUG